rnacentral:rRNA from 1 species
GACGAAGGUGGCAAGCGUUAUUCGGAUUUACUGGGCAUAAAGCGCGCGUAGGCGGCUUGGCAAGUCGGGGGUGAAAGCCCGCAGCUCAACUGCGGAACUGCCUUCGAUACUGCCGGGCUUGAGGGCGGGAGGGGUGAUUGGAACUCCAGGUGUAGCGGUGAAAUGCGUAGAUAUCUGGAAGAACACCAGUGGCGAAGGCGGUCAACUGGCCCGAAACUGACGCUGAGGCACGAAAGCGUGGGUAGCGAACAGG